CCUGAGGCUGUCACUCUGUCCACUGCACCAUACUGGGGUACACAGAAGAGUUGGGACAGCACACAAGAAGAAAACAAUCUUGAGUCAUCUCAUCUGAGCAGAUGGGCCUUUGUCAGGCCUUUGUGCCAUCGUUUACCAGUGUUCCACUGAUGCCUUCCCUGAGUUCAAUACAGGGUUUAAUCUGUGAUGUCAAAAGAAAUACUAAACACCAGACUGACUUUUCUGGUGAUUCCUAGACUAUGCUGGGGUUGCAACCAAAAGGAAAAAGACAAGGAAACACAGACCAUGUACAGUAGUAUGUACAGAUCUGAGCAUGACAAAUUUCCCAAAGAAUAACACAAGCCUUUCUUUCUGUCUAAAAAAUGAUUCCAUGUGAACUGUACACUAUAGAGCCACUGGCAAGAAGAAUGAAAAUAACUUCACCUGUUUGCUUGUCCCACCACUUCUGCCACUUAAAUGGACAAAACCUUUGCCAGGUAGAAGCAACCAAUUCCUACAGACCUGGAACAAAGUCAGAAAGAAACUUACACCAACAAUCAUUGAACUAAAGCUCUCU